AAAACCUAUAAUAUAACCAAUGAGCUUUUUACCUUAAAAGUAUUAGAGUCCUUUUAACAAAAAAUGUGAGAUUUUGAAUUCAAAUAUCAAUCGAUUGUAUAAAAAAGAAAAAUAAAAUAAUAUAAUUUGAGAAUUCUUUGGAUAGUAGGAAAUGCAACAAUUAUUGAUAAGAAAUAGAAUAUGCAAUUAAUUUUUGCAGGACACAUUAUAUUUGGAAGAGA
rnacentral:misc_RNA from 1 species